GCCGUAAACAAUUAACUUACAUUUCCAGCGCCAGGGAAUUACGAGCAAUGCUUAAAACCCAAAGGAUUUGACGGUGUCCCACCCCACUAGAGGAGCCUGUUCUAUAAUCGAUGAUCCCCGCUUCACCUGACCACUCCUCGCUUAUCAGUCUGUAUACCUCCGUCGAAAGCUUACCAUGUGAACGCCCGCAGUAAGCCUAAUGAUUCUACCAUCAACACGUCAGGUCAAGGUGCAGCUCAAGGAAUGGGAAGUAAUGGGCUACAAUUUCUAAUUUAGAACAAACGAAAGACUAUGUGAAACCCUAGUCAUGAAGGUGGAUUUAGUAGUAAAAAGAAAAUAGAGUAUUCUUUUUAACCCGGCUCUGGGACGCGUACACACCGCCCGUCACCCUCUUCAAUAGUAUUUUUUUGUUCCUAACCCCCUACACACGUCUUAGAAGAGGCAAGUCGUAACAUGGUAAGUGUACUGGAAAGUGCACUUGGUAUACU
rnacentral:rRNA from 1 species